ACCCCACUCCUGGUGCCAGUGAGGCUGUCAGUGCCCAAUCUUGGUCCACAGAUACAGGGCAGAGCCUUUCGUGACCUGUAGACCAGAGCUUCUCAGGUCUGACGGGUACUCGUCUGAAUCUUUUGGGAGAUA